rnacentral:lncRNA from 1 species
ACCUUUCAAAUUUCAACCCGUCCGGAUGCUGUUGGCAUUAUAACAUGGGCCAUUUAAGCAUCACACAAGCAUCUCAGGGCACAACUAGGAAAAGGCUUGGACCGGGAAGGUAGAGGGAUCAUCGAAGCCCAAGGAGCCCGAAGGAAAAGGCUAAAUCAAUUCUUCUAAGAAAUCUUUGUGAAACUCUUCUUCCCUCUUCCUCUUGUUGAUGCUCCCUGCUCCUGGAGGCUGAGACCCUGUCCACCUGUACCACCUUCAGAUGGUGUGCUCAGUGGGCAGAUCCAGACGGAGAUUGAAAUGAGGGAGCACAAGUGAGGGUGGGGUAGUUGGAGACUGCUCAUACCAGCUCGUGACAGCUGAUCGUGCACAUCUGUUGUCAAUUCAGCAUCUAGUGACCUCAACUUGGUAGCUUUAAAUAGGUCAUGGGAAGACUAUUUACACCAAAAGAAUGCUACGAUUUUUUUUUUCCAGACAUUCAGCUGUAGGUCAUUGACCAAUACCUACCGCUGUGUUGGGACUUCUACUCUCCCAGCUUCCUGCUUAUGGAACAGCUUCAGGUGGACCUUAACCAAAGGUCACUGUUCUUCUCAAAAUAGACAUAUCUACACUUUUCUCCUUCUGGAAUCAAUGCUGUUUCUUGUGGUUUCCCAGUUGUCCCCUGACUUUCUGAGUAGCCUCUUUGUGGGAGAACUCUUAGAUUAUCA